rnacentral:lncRNA from 1 species
CAUGUCCCUUCUGAAAUCUUAUCCCUGUCCCACAACUUGCUGGGAUCAUGGGAUGGUGGGNUGGGAUGGUGGGAUCAUGUCCAUGUCCCUUCUGAAAUCUUAUCCCUGUCCCACAACUUGCUGGGAUCAUGGGAUGGUGGGAUCACAGGAUCAUGGCAUGGUGGGAUCUCAGGAUGAUGGGAUGGUGGGAUCACAGGAUCAUGGGAUGGUGGGAUCACAGGAUGAUGGGAUCAUGUCCAUGUCCCUUCUCCAUGGACCACCCCACAGCAUCUCCCACAACCCCCCGGGAUCCUGGGACCAUGGGAUCACGGGAUGGUGGGAUCACCUCCACCUCCCACACCACCCAUGGUCACCUCCACCCCUUUUCUCC